CUUUGUCAAAAUACGGACUGUGUUGCGUUCUCGGGAACAUAUUACGAAAUAUUAACCAAAAAAGUUAAUAUUUGUCUAUCUGAAAAUGUCAACAAAAAAAAAAAAAAAAAACAUCACGAAAGCAUACAAUGGAAAGAACCAAUCACAACUGAAGCAAAGAUUCACUAUACUAGACCUUUUGACAUGCUGAAAGCAGAAGAUAAAGCAGAGGUUUGUGAAUUUAUGUAUUGGCUUGGUUGUGUCCAAAACCAUGAAGGACUAUUCAAGAUGGGCGUAUGAUCAGGUGCAUAUCUCAAGGAAGAAAGCCUUGACCAUACAGUGAAAAUGUAUGAAUUCUUAAAGAAUACACUUCUCUACUCUUGGGCAUCUAGGAGGCAAAAUAGAGUGCAUAGUUAAGUCAGUAUAUAACAGAAAAUGAUAAAUAUAAUAUAUACAUAUUCAUAAGUGACUUCUGUACAUCGUUUUUUAUUAAUUAAAAAAAAAAAAUAGUACGGUUUACCGGACCAUUCGUCGGUUCAAAGACACCAAUUCCCCCUCAAACCUGCCAAGAAAUGGAACUCCUCGAAUGUCUUUAACAAGACAAAAUGGAAUUCUUGUGCGCCAGUACCUUUCAAACAGGAAAGAUAACAUUCCAGACCUGAAAACUUCUUGGAGGCAAAGUGGGAUUGAUGUUUCUGAUAGCAUCAUUCGCUGAAGACCAAUGGAAGUUAGUAUCUCAGCCCGCGUGGUAAAGAAAAAACCAUCUACUGACUAAUUGUUAGACCGUUCUUUACACACUGGUUUUGACUACGGGCUACUCUGUUUACCUGAUCAAGAUAUAGGGCUCCCGUCGGAUGUGACCGCUCGACAGGCAAUGCUUACUCCUCCAAGGCAUCUGAUCUCACCUCUGGUGUGUCCAGGGGUCCGUGUUUGCCCACAUCUUAAUCUUGUAUUUCUUAUAGGAGUUAU